CCUACGGGAGGCAGCAGUAAGGAAUAUUGGACAAUGCUCGCAAGAGUGAUCCAGCCAUGCCGCGUGCAGGAAGACGGCCCUAUGGGUUGUAAACUGCUUUUGAACUAGAGAAAACCCUCCUACGUGUAGGAGGCUGAUAGUAUAGUUAGAAUAAGCAUCGGCUAACUUCGUGCCAGCAGCCGCGGUAAGACGAAGGAUGCAAGCGUUAUCCGGAUUCAUUGGGUUUAAAGGGAGCGUAGGUGGACUGAUAAGUCAGUGGUGAAAUCUCUCGGCUUAACCGAGAAAUUGCCAUUGAUACUGUUGGUCUUGAGUACAGUUGCUGUGGGCGGAAUAUGACAUGUAGUGGUGAAAUACAUAGAGAUGUCAUAGAACACCGAUUGCGAAGGCAGCUCACAAAGCUGUAACUGACACUGAGCUACGAAGUAGNGGAGUACAACAGAGUAGUAUACCUACGUAGUCGCACCGUAACG
rnacentral:rRNA from 1 species